GUGGACCUAUUGGGGCGGUAAGCAAAUUGAAGUGGGUCUAAGGUGGCCAGCAAGAUGGAGGUGAUAUGAUCCUUGACUAGUCUCUCAAAGCACUUCUUGGUGAUAGUCAUUUAGUUCAGUUAUCUUUGCCUUCUUGGGGACAGGAACAAAGGUGGCCAUCUUGAAGCAUGUGGGGACAGCAGAGUGGGAUAGGGAGCGAUUGAAUAUGUCCUUAAACACUCCAGCCAGCUGGUCUGAGCUCUGAGGAUGCGGUUGGGGAUGCCGUCUGGGCCGGCAGCCUGGCGAGGGUUAACACGUUUAACACCAACUACAGUUCACUACUACUGAGAUCUAGAACUACAACACCAACUACAGGUCACUACUACUGAGAUCUAGAACUACAACACCAACUACAGGUCACUACUACUGAGAUCUAGAACUACAACACCAACUACAGGUCACUACUACUGAGAUCUAGAACUACAACAUCAACUACAGGUCACUACUACUGAGAUCUAGAGCUACAACAUCAACUACAGGUCACUACUACUGAGAUCUAGAACUACAACAUACACUACAGUUCACUACUACUGAGAUCUAGAACUACAACAUCAACUACAGGUCCCUACUACUGAGAUCUAGAACUACAACAUCAACUACAGUUCACUACUACUGAGAUCUAGAACUACAACAUCAACUACAACAUCAACUACAACAUCAACUACAGUUCACUACUACUG
ensembl:lncRNA